AUUGAACGCUGGCGGCAUGCCUUACACAUGCAAGUCGAACGGCAGCACGGGAGCAAUCCUGGUGGCGAGUGGCGAACGGGUGAGUAAUACAUCGGAACGUGCCCAAUCGUGGGGGAUAACGUAGCGAAAGUUACGCUAAUACCGCAUACGAUCUACGGAUGAAAGCGGGGGACCGCAAGGCCUCGCGCGAUUGGAGCGGCCGAUGGCAGAUUAGGUAGUUGGUGGGGUAAAGGCCUACCAAGCCUCCGAUCUGUAGCUGGUCUGAGAGGACGAUCAGCCACACUGGGACUGAGACACGGCCCAGACUCCUACGGGAGGAAGCAGUGGGGAAUUUUGGACAAUGGGCGAAAGCCUGAUCCAGCAAUGCCGCGUGCAGGACGAAGGCCUUCGGGUUGUAAACUGCUUUUGUACGGAGCGAAACGGCUUUCACUAAUACUGGGGGCUAAUGACGGUACCGUAAGAAUAAGCACCGGCUAACUACGUGCCAGCCGCCGCGGUAA
rnacentral:rRNA from 1 species